GCCUGGGUGGCUCAGUCGGUUGAGCCUCCGACUUCGGCUCAGGUCAUGAUCUCACGGCUCGUGGGUUCGAGCCCCAUGUCGGGCU
rnacentral:tRNA from 1 species